rnacentral:tRNA from 1 species
GGUUGGUAAUUAAUUAGAUUUAAAAUUUAAUAGGCGUUAAAGAGAUUAACGGCCAACUU